GACGAACGCUGGCGGCGCGCUUAACACAUGCAAGUCGAGCGAAGCGGCGGACGGGUGAGUAACACGUGAGUAACCUGCCUUAGACCUUGGGAUAGCCUCGGGAAACCGGGAUUAAUACCAAAUGGUCUAAGAUGGACUCGCGUCCCAUUAGCUAGUUGGUGGGUAACGGCCCACCAAGGCGACGAUGGGUAGCCGGCCUGAGAGGGGGAACGGGCACAUUGGAACGUGGAAACGGUCCAAAAUACACGGGAGGGAGCAGGGGGGAAUAUUGCACAAUGGAGGGAACUCUGAAGGAGCGAAGCCGCGUGAACGAAGAAGGCGUUCGAGUCGUAAAGUUCUUUUAUAUGGGAAGCGGUACCAUAAGAAAAAGCCCCGGCUAACUACGUGCCAGCAGCCGCGGUAAUUC
rnacentral:rRNA from 1 species